CUGGAUGGAGGGCGCAGGCAGAGGUGCCACAUUCUCUAUCUCACUGCUCCCAAUCGAGAGGCAGCCUGGAUUCAGGCCUACAGGACAAUAGAACAAACCAAGGAUGUACAAAACCAGGGAAGCUAAACUUAAACGGACUGAUCAUCUUUUGACUGAACAUCAUGUCCAGGGUGGGUCUUUCUGCAGUAGUCCACUCCUCCUCAGAAAACAGAAAGGUAACGACUGUUACAGUGGUCCUCUUUAACACGGCUUUCUCUAACAAGAUGCUGUCGGGGGAGGAGGAGGGGUUGGAGGACCACCCCACCGUGGCCU